rnacentral:misc_RNA from 1 species
GCAAACUUGGUCAUUUAGAGGAAGUAAAAGUCGUAACAAGGUCUCCGUUGGUGAACCAGCGGAGGGAUCAUUACCGAGUCUCCAGACUCCCCAAACCACUGUGGACAUACCUCUAGAAGAUGCUCCGGCGCGGCCGCCCCAGGGGGGGCGCUGGCCGCGAGGCGCCCGCCGGAGCACCCUACCUCUAAAGCCUUUUUUUGCUACAGCUUUCUGAGUGGAAAAGACACUAAAAGCGUCACAACUUUCAACAAUGGAUCUCUUGGUUCCGGCAUCGAUGAAGAACGCAGC